GAAUUCCUGAGGCGGUGUGCCGAGCACCUCCAUGAUCAGAUUCAGUUGAUGGAUAUCUGUCUCGUCCAUUAAGGUUGAAAGCCAACAAGGUCAUAAUACAAGCUAAUGCUAACAUUCAACAAGUGGAAUACAAAACACUGAUAGAUAGCUGAAAUAUGAAAAUUAAUUAUAUAAUUUUCAAUCAUGCAGUCAAUUUCAUUAACUGAAGAAAUCACUAUUAACAACAUACCCUGUGUAUAAUACCGGCUGAGUGGAUGUACUUCAAGCCACGGAGGAUUUGAUAGACAAGAAACUGUACAUGGUCAUCUGACAGUUUCUGUGUGCGUAUGAUGUUAUUUAAGUCUGCACCCAUCAGGUGCGUCACUAGGUAAACCUGCUGGAACUCCUCUAUUGUCUUCUCGGGACUGAAUACAUCCAGUAACCC